rfam:Setaria italica strain Yugu1 chromosome IV, whole genome shotgun sequence.
GAUUUCUGAUUUGCGCAGAGGCUGAAAAACUCGGAAAGUGUGUGUUGUCAUCAGCUUCGUCUCUUUUUUACUGUGAGAUGGGAGUUAAAUAACAGCACGAUAUUG